AACGAGAAGCCACCUUCGGGUGGUGGACAGUGGCAGACGGGUGAGUAACGCGUGGGAACGUGCCUUUCGGUUCGGGAUAACCCAGGGAAACUUGGACUAAUACCGGAUACGCCCUUCGGGGGAAAGAUUCAUUGCCGAAAGAUCGGCCCGCGUCGGAUUAGCUAGUUGGUGGGGUAAAAGCCUACCAAGGCGACGAUCCGUAGCUGGUCUGAGAGGAUGACCAGCCACACUGGGACUGAGACACGGCCCAGACUCCUAUGGGAGGCAGCAGUGGGGAAUAUUGGACAAUGGGCGCAAGCCUGAUCCAGCCAUGCCGCGUGGGUGAAGAAGGCCUUAGGGUUGUAAAUCCCUUUCAGCGGGGAAGAUAAUGACGGUACCCGCAGAAGAAGCCCCGGCUAACUCCGUGCCAGCAGCCGCGGUAAUACGGAGGGGGCUAGCGUUGUUCGGAAUUACUGGGCGUAAAGCGCGCGUAGGCGGACCUGUAAGUCGGGGGUGAAAGCCCGAGGCUCAACCUCGGAACUGCCUCCGAUACUACAGGUCUUGAGUCCGAGAGAGGUGAG
rnacentral:rRNA from 1 species